CCCCUCUCAGAAUCGCACCUGGAGAGUUUGCAGAACUCUGCCAGUCUUGGCUAUGGGAGAGAAAGUCAAGCAGAGGCCUAUCCAUUCCAUUCCUAGCUUAGGCGGUGGCUAGCGAGUGGAAGGCAAUCUGCUACAAGU